rnacentral:rRNA from 1 species
CCUACGGGUGGCAGCAGUGAGGAAUAUUGGUCAAUGGGCGGGAGCCUGAACCAGCCAAGUCGCGUGAGGGAAGACGGUCCUAUGGAUUGUAAACCUCUUUAGCCGGGGAGCAAUGCCGGGCACGCGUGCCCGGAGGGAGAGUACCCGCAGAAUAAGCAUCGGCUAACUCCGUGCCAGCAGCCGCGGUAAUACGGAGGAUUCGAGCGUUAUCCGGAUUUAUUGGGGUUAAAGGGUGCGUGGGCGGAGUUUUACGUCAGCGGUAAAAUGUCCGGGCUCAACCCGGGCCGGCCGUUGAAACUGGGGAGCUUGAGUGGGCGAGAAGUAGGCGGAAUGCGUGGUGUAGCGGUGAAAUGCAUAGAUAUCACGCAGAACGCCGAUUGCGAAGGCAGCAUACCGGAGCCCGACUGACGCUGAGGCACGAAAGCGUGGGGAUCGAACAGGAUUAGAUACCCCAGUAGUC